rnacentral:rRNA from 1 species
UACCGGCACCCCGAGUGGUCGGGACGAUUAUUGGGCCUAAAGCAUCCGUAGCCGGUUCUACAAGUCUUCCGUUAAAUCCACCUGCUUAACAGUUGGGCUGCAGAGGAUACUAUAGAGCUAGGAGGCGGGAGAGGCAAGCGGUACUUAGUGGGUAGGGGUAAAAUCCGUUGAUCCACUGAAGACCACCAGUGGCGAAGGCGGCUUGCCAGAACGCGCUCGACGGUGAGGGAUGAAAGC